rnacentral:rRNA from 1 species
AAUGAACGUUGGCGGCGUGGAUUAGGCAUGCAAGUCGUACGGGUCGGUGUAGCAAUACAACGGCAAGUGGCGAAAGGGAGAGUAACACGUAGAUACCUACCCUCUGGUCGGGGAUACCGCGGCAUAACCGCAAGUAAUACCCGAUAAAAUCUCCGGAUCAAAGGUGUGAUUCCGCCGGAGGAGGGGUCUGCGUUCUAUCAGCUUGUUGGUGAGGUAAUGGCUCACCAAGGCUAAGACGGAUACGGGGUGUGAGAGCAUGCCCCCGCUCACUGGGACUGAGACACUGCCCAGACACCUACGGGUGGCUGCAGUCGAGAAUCUUCGGCAAUGGGCGCAAGCCUGACCGAGCGACGCCGCGUGCGGGAUGAAGGCCUUCGGGUUGUAAACCGCUGUCGAGGGGAAUGAAGUGUAGGUGGGUACUCCCAUCUAUUUGACAGAUCCCUGGAGGAAGCAUGGGCUAACUUCGUGCCAGCAGCCGCCGUAAGAC